ACAGGUCUCCAAUCCCUUCCGGUGGCAGUGAGUUCCACUGUCUGAUUGGACUGUCCACAGGACAGUCUCUCAUAAGCAAGAGAGCAGAGAAAGAGACGCAUCCGACAAUCCAGUGAUGACAUCCCCACUGAAACACUUGUGAUGUCACAAAAGCUGGACUGUGGCAUCAACAGAUGACUCAGAAAGCAGGACAAGUGAGGAAAAGAUGCGGAAACUGAGGCACACGGAAAGGCAAUGACUUGCCCAGGGACACACAUCAGCAAGUCAAUAGCAGAAGCAGGAACAGAACUCAAACAUCAUGUCUCUUGAGUACUGUGUCCUGUUCACUGGACCAUACCUACCUCCCCACAUACAUUUGGUUGAGAUAUAGCUCAUGUCUUCUAGAGGAGAACUGGAAUGAGGCUACGUAUGAUACAGAAAACACAGGACAUUUGCUCUUGUAGGAAAUUCCCAUGCUGCUGAAGGAAGGAUAUGUUGCUGCGGCUGCAUUACCAGAAAUGUCUCCUAGAUUAGCUCAGUUUUAUGAACUCUAUCCUUUAAAUGAUGUCCAAAUCCAAGAUGUACAGGGCACACAUGAGAGUAGAAUACACGGUGCUGGCUCUUUAAGAGAAUACUGUCAGUUUUUCAGAUAUUACAUUUAGCUACCCACCCCUCCCGCUUAUCUACUAGCAAUCUCCAUGGAAAUGCUAAUCCCUUUUUCCUCUACCACAAGCACUUCUAUGUGUUUUUAAAAUAGACGAGUGCCAGUAUCUCUGUUCUCAUAAGCUACCCUACAAUGACAAGUAAGUGAAUGUGAGCACAUGCUCAUUAAUAAAAUGCCUGCAUGCACAUCCAAUACUCAUAAGCAAUCUAUAGCAACAAACCAGCAUGCAUUACCCAGUGCUCAGAAGCAACCCUACAAUAACACCCACCGGGAUUGCUUUAGCAAUGCAGGAAGUUAUGGCAAUAAUGACACAGAUUUCAAGUUCCAGCCUCCAAAAGAAAAAAAAAAAGUAAGAUACAGAUUUUUAAAUGAUAAAAGAUACACUGUUGGGUCUUUUACAUCAGAUUUUUAUGACGUGUUUUGAACUACUUUGCAAAACAAGAAUAUACUUUGUUCAAGUAACUGCUCCUCCUCAGGAGCCAUAUUCUGAUUUCAUUUACACUGCUGUAAAUCAGGAGUAACUCUACUGGUUUAUACUCUGUUUACAUCCACAUAUAUAAUAUUCAAUCUGGGUUCCAGGAUUAUUAAAAAAAAACAACCAAAAACAGCUAGAUACGAGUCUGAGAAGUCUUCUGCAGAAUAAAUACUCACCAGUCAAAUUUAAUAUAUACA